rnacentral:tRNA from 1 species
GCUCUGGUGGCUUAGUGGUUAAGCGUUUGGCUGCUAACCAAAAGGUAGACAGUUCAAAUCCACCAGCU